rnacentral:rRNA from 1 species
ACUCAAAGGAAUUGACGGGGGCCCGCACAAGCGGUGGAGCAUGUGGAUUAAUACGUCACUAACCGUAGAACCUUACCCAGGCUUGACAUCUGGCGAACUUUCCUGAAAGGGAAGGGUGCCUCGCAAGAGGAGCGCCAAGACAGGUGUUGCAUGGCUGUCGUCAGCUCGUGUCGUGAGAUGUUGGGUUAAGUCCCGCAACGAGCGCAACCCUCAUCGCAUGUUGCCAGCGUCAAGUCGGGCACUCUUGCGAAACUGCCCGGGUAACCGGGAGGAAGGUGAGGACGACGUCAAGUCAGCAUGGCCCUUACGCCUGGGGCUUCACACAUGCUACAAUGGCCGGUACAAAGGGCUCCGAUACCGCGAGGUGGAGGCAAUCCCAAAAAGCCGGUCUCAGUUCGGAUCGCAGGCUGCAACUCGCCUGCGUGAAGUCGGAAUCGCUAGUAACCGCCGGUCAGCUAAACGGCGGUGAAUACGUUCCCGGGCCUUGUACACACCGCCCGU